UAGGGAAUCUUCGGCAAUGGACGAAAGUCUGACCGAGCAACGCCGCGUGAGUGAAGAAGGUUUUCGGAUCGUAAAACUCUGUUGGUAGAGAAGAACGUUGGUGAGAGUGGAAAGCUCAUCAAGUGACGGUAACUACCCAGAAAGGGACGGCUAACUACGUGCCAGCAGC
rnacentral:rRNA from 1 species